rnacentral:misc_RNA from 1 species
GUGAAUCAUCGAAUUUUUGAACGCAAAUUGCACUCUCUGGUAUUCCGGAGAGUAUGCCUGUUUGAGGGUCAGUUUUAAUAAAAAGCGCUGUGUGUUCUGCGUUGCGUGUUGACGCACCGGAUAUGGGUCUUCUUGCCAUCGGUGAAGGGACCUAAAAUUUUGCAUGAUUUUUUUCGAACUUAUUUAACUGAGUGUA